rnacentral:rRNA from 1 species
UACAGAGGGUGCAAGCGUUAAUCGGAAUUACUGGGCGUAAAGCGUGCGUAGACGGUAGCGUAAGUCGGGUGUGAAAGCCCCGGGCUCAACCUGGGAAUUGCAUUCGAGACUGCUCUGUUAGGGUGCGGAAGAGGGAAGCGGAAUUUCCGGUGUAGCGGUGAAAUGCGUAGAUAUCGGAAGGAACACCAGUGGCGAAAGCGGCUUCCUGGUCCAGCACCGACGUUCAGGCACGAAAGCGUGGGGAGCAAACAGG